UACGAAGGGGGCUAGCGUUGCUCGGAAUCACUGGGCGUAAAGGGUGCGUAGGCGGGUUUUAAGUCAGGGGUGAAAUCCUGGAGCUCAACUCCAGAACUGCCUUUGAUACUGGCGAUCUCGAGUCCGGGAGAGGUGAGUGGAACUGCGAGUGUAGAGGUGAAAUUCGUAGAUAUCGCAAGAACACCAGUGGCGAAGGCGGCUCACUGGCCCGGUACUGACGCUGAGGUGCGAAAGCGUGGGGAGCAAACAGGG
rnacentral:rRNA from 1 species